UCCCCUGGCACAGGCUCUCUUGCUCCCUUGGCUGGGAUGAAGUGCUGUGGCCCCAGGCAUGGGGCACACUGAGAUGAACUGAACAGCUUUUUGAAAAUGUCUUGAGAUCCUUGGCAAUGGAGAGAGAUUGCAGUGCAAGCACUUUUCUGGAUUACUCUGUCACCGAUGUCAAAUCAAAGCAUCAAGGAUAUAAAUCUUCAGAAAACAUCUGGCCUCGCUUCAGCCAGGUUAUGCAAUGCCUCAAGUACAUCCAGCAGCAGAUUAUGCUGUGUUCUCCAUUUGUGCAAUGCAAACUAAUGUGAAUAUCAAGUCACAUCAGUGGUCUAGACAAGUAGUCGAGAGAUAAAGACGGCAGCCCAAAGUGGGAAGUUCGCCCUUUCAGCUCAACUUAAAGGUCAUCAUGUUCGAUCAAGAUAUUGUCUCGUGACAGCUUUGUUGGUAUUCUCAGCAGUGCUUGGGAACAGUGGUUGAUCUUGCAUCACAAACUGUAAAGGAAGUGGUGCGUAUGUGUAAUCCAGAAAUAAUGGAUAUUCCUUUUAUAUUUUAACU